UACGGAGGGGGCUAGCGUUGUUCGGAAUUACUGGGCGUAAAGCGCACGUAGGCGGCUUGACAAGUGAGGCGUGAAAGUCCUGGGCUCAACCUGGGGACUGCGCUUCAGACUGUUUCGCUAGAGUCCGGAAGAGGAUGGUGGAAUUCCGAGUGUAGAGGUGAAAUUCGUAGAUAUUCGGAGGAACACCGGUGGCGAAGGCGGCCAUCUGGUCCGGUACUGACGCUGAAGUGCGAAAGCGUGGGGAGCAAACAGG
rnacentral:rRNA from 1 species